rnacentral:lncRNA from 1 species
AUGAGGAUUCAAAUUAGAAUGUUGGCUAUUUCCUAUAGUUUGCUAAAAAUAACCCGGGUGCCUGCUUCCUUCCCUUGUGCUUCAUUUUCAGUGCCUGCUCAUCCUGAAGAUUCAGAAGAGAUGGAAAUGUUCCUUGGUGCUGUUUGUUCAGAUAAAUGGUGAGAGAAAGAGAGAGAAUGGGAGCAGCUUCCUUGCCCUGAGAUGGACAUCGCAAGUUGAGAGCUGCUCACGCAGCCCUGGACAGCUCACCUCUGAAAUGUUACAUAUGAAGGAAAUAAAUUUCCAUCUUGUUCAAGCCACUGCAUUUUGAUGUCUUUUUUAUUACAUCAGCAUAAUCUGUUGCCUGUUUAAAAUAAUGCAUACCUAAUCCUGGUUCCUUUGGAACCUUGCUGUCACCAAAGUGACAGAGUCCUCUGUGGGGCCAUGUUGUGGCAGGCCAGGUCUCACAAAAGCUGAACAGGCAGGCCUCCAUGACAACCAUUUCAGCACUGACUGAGUGGUUAGGUUAAAUAAUAAAGGCUGAAAGAGCCAGUGCCCUUAGACAAAGGCUGGGAGGUAACAAAAGCCCACCAAGAGUCUUGCCUAGGCCUUUCCUGGGCCUUGAAACUUGACAAGAUAAUGAAGGAAUUCUUAAUGGGACCCAUUUACAAGCUUUAUUGGGGGUCUGAAGAAACUCCCCAGACCUCCACAAACAACUUUUAUUGAGGGUCUAAAGAAACUUCCCCAAACCUCCAUAAUUUAGCAGGGGACAAGAUAAGGGUAAUCAUCCCUGCACCUGGAGCCAUCUAGGUGAAGUAAAUUUACUGAGGCUCCAGAGAAAGGUCUUCAGGACUCAGACCUUACUUACAGACUAGAAGUUAAUCACUUAUGUCUUUAAAUGAAUGCACACUUACACGCAGACUUAUAGCUUAGAAGCUAUAUAAGUACUGGAAAACUUUGUAAUUUUGAGUUGAUCUGGUGAUAUUUUCCCAGCCUUCUUCCUGUACCCUGUUAUAGAAAUCAACUGUCUUCUUUCCCAGUUUGCCUGCAUCUCCUUACUGGGCCAUGAGAAUAAAUAAGCAGCCUGAACCUCAGUUUGGUCCAGGAACAAUGUCACUGCUUUGGCUGCUGAUGCUAGAGUCUUCUGUCACUGCCUGCAGAAAACCCAGCAUUUGGAAGGUGUGUUCUCCCGUGUAACUCAUGAAGUUCUUGUUUCCAGUCACCAACCACAGUCAGGCGAGUUCAGGCUAUCUGAACAAGUUGGGGAGGAAAUAAGCCCCCAGUGGAAGUCUCCGCAAGUAACUAGAUGUUUACCCAAUAUUUAUUCUCUUCUUUAUCCUUGCUAAUGGAAACCUGAUUUUGUAAUGGUGUAGCAUUUGCUAUUGAUCCCACCCCCACAGUGUAUCUACUGCCCAGGGCAAAAAUACUGUAUUCCCAGCCUCCCUUCAUUUGAGGGUGACCAUGCAACACAGUUUGGAAGAAGUCUCACAGUGAGUUCAAGAAAGAUUUGGAGACUGGGACAGAAGGAUCAUUUGAGGUCAAGAGUUUGAAACAAGCCUGGGCAACAUAGCAAUACCUAGCCUCUACAAAAAAUAAAAUAAAUU